rnacentral:rRNA from 1 species
UACGAAGGGGGCUAGCGUUGCUCGGAAUUACUGGGCGUAAAGCGCACGUAGGCGGAUUGUUGAAGUCGGGGGUGAAAUCCUGGAGUUCAACUCCAGAACUGCCUUCGAUACUGGCGAUCUCGAGUUCGGGAGAGGUGAGUGGAACUGCGAGUGUAGAAGGUGAAAUUCGUAGAUAUUCGCAAGAACACCAGUGGCGAAGGCGGCUCACUGGCCCGAUACUGACGCUGAGGUGCGAAAGCGUGGGGAGCAAACAGG